rnacentral:rRNA from 1 species
UACGUAGGGCGCAAGCGUUAUCCGGAAUUAUUGGGCGUAAAGAGCUCGUAGGCGGCUUGUCGCGUCGUUCGUGAAAACCUGCAGCUCAACUGCAGGCUUGCGGUCGAUACGGGCAGGCUAGAGUUCGGUAGGGAGACGUGGAAUUCCUGGUGUGAGACGGUGAAAUGCGCAGAGUAUCAGGAAGAACACCCGUGGCUAAGGCGGCUCUCUAGUACGUGACUGACGCUGAGACGCGAAGCGUGGGAGCGAA